GGGCCCGCACAAGCGGUGGAGCAUGUGGUUUAAUUCGACGCAACGCGAAGAACCUUACCUGGCCUUGACAUCCAGAGAACUUUCCAGAGAUGGAUUGGUGCCUUCGGGAACUCUGAGACAGGUGCUGCAUGGCCGUCGUCAGCUCGUGUCGUGAGAUGUUGGGUUAAGUCCCGUAACGAGCGCAACCCCUAUCCUUGGUUGCUAGCAGGUAAUGCUGAGAACUCCAGGGAGACUGCCGGUGACAAACCGGAGGAAGGUGGGGAUGACGUCAGGUCAUCAUGGCCCUUACGGCCAGGGCUACACACGUGCUACAAUGGCGCGUACAGAGGGCUGCCAACUCGCGAGAGUGAGCCAAUCCCUUAAAACGCGUCGUAGUCCGGAUCGGAGUCUGCAACUCGACUCCGUGAAGUCGGAAUCGCUAGUAAUCGCGAAUCAGAAUGUCGCGGUGAAUACGUUCCCGGGCCUU
rnacentral:rRNA from 1 species